GUGUCAGCAGCCGCGGUAAGACGUAGGGGGCCAGCGUUGCUCGGAAUUACUGGGCGUAAAGGGUCCGUAGGCGGUGCGGCAAGUCGGGAGUGAAAUCUCUGGGCUUAACCCAGAGUCUGCUUCCGAAACUGCCGCGCUGGAGUGCGGGAGAGGCGAGUGGAAUUGCAGGUGUAGCGGUGAAAUGCGUAGAUAUCUGCAGGAACACCAGAGGCGAAAGCGGCUCGCUGGACCGCAACUGACGCUGAGGGACGAAAGCUAGGGGAGCAAACAGGAUUAGAAACCCCCGUAGUCC
rnacentral:rRNA from 1 species